rnacentral:rRNA from 1 species
UACGGAGGGGGCGAGCGUUUAUUCGGAAUUAUUGGGCGUAAAGGGCGCGUAGGCGGCCUUGUAAGUCAAAGGUGAAAUCCCUCGGCUCAACUGAGGAACUGCCUUUGAAACUGCAAGGCUUGAGGCCGGGAGGGGGUAGCGGAAUUCCCAAUGUAGCGGUGAAAUGCGUAGAUAUUGGGAGGAACACCAGUGGCGAAGGCGGCUACCUGGACCGGUUCUGACGCUGAGGCGCGAAAGCUAGGGGAGCAAACGGG